rnacentral:rRNA from 1 species
UAAUACAUGCAAGUCGAGCGAGCGGAACCACAGAUUUACUUCGGUAAUGACGUUGGGNAAAGCGAGCGGCGGAUGGGUGAGUAACACGUGGGGAACCUGCCCCUAAGUCUGGGAUACCAUUUGGAAACAGGUGCUAAUACCGGAUAAUAAAGCAGAUCGCAUGAUCAGCUUUUGAAAGGCGGCGUAAGCUGUCGCUAAGGGAUGGCCCCGCGGUGCAUUAGCUAGUUGGUAAGGUAACGGCUUACCAAGGCGACGAUGCAUAGCCGAGUUGAGAGACUGAUCGGCCACAUUGGGACUGAGACACGGCCCAAACUCCUACGGGAGGCAGCAGUAGGGAAUCUUCCACAAUGGACGCAAGUCUGAUGGAGCAACGCCGCGUGAGUGAAGAAGGUUUUCGGAUCGUAAAGCUCUGUUGUUGGUGAAGAAGGAUAGAGGUAGUAACUGGCCUUUAUUUGACGGUAAUCAACCAGAAAAUGUC